GGGUGCUAUACAUGCAGUCGAGCGGACAGAUGGGAGCUUGCUCCCUGAUGUUAGCGGCGGACGGGUGAGUAACACGUGGGUAACCUGCCUGUAAGACUGGGAUAACUCCGGGAAACCGGGGCUAAUACCGGAUGCUUGUUUGAACCGCAUGGUUCAAACAUAAAAGGUGGCUUCGGCUACCACUUACAGAUGGACCCGCGGCGCAUUAGCUAGUUGGUGAGGUAAUGGCUCACCAAGGCAACGAUGCGUAGCCGACCUGAGAGGGUGAUCGGCCACACUGGGACUGAGACACGGCCCAGACUCCUACGGGAGGCAGCAGUAGGGAAUCUUCCGCAAUGGACGAAAGUCUGACGGAGCAACGCCGCGUGAGUGAUGAAGGUUUUCGGAUCGUAAAGCUCUGUUGUUAGGGAAGAACAAGUACCGUUCGAAUAGGGCGGUACCUUGACGGUACCUAACCAGAAAGCCACGGCUAACUACGUGCCAGCAGCCGCGGUAAUACGUAGGUGGCAAGCGUUGUCCGGAAUUAUUGGGCGUAAAGGGCUCGCAGGCGGUUUCUUAAGUCUGAUGUGAAAGCCCCCGGCUCAACCGGGGAGGGUCAUUGGAAACUGGGGAACUUGAGUGCAGAAGAGGAGAGUGGAAUUCCACGUGUAGCGGUGAAAUGCGUAGAGAUGUGGAGGAACACCAGUGGCGAAGGCGACUCUCUGGUCUGUAACUGACGCUGAGGAGCGAAAGCGUGGGGAGCGAACAGGAUUAGAUACCC
rnacentral:rRNA from 1 species